UACGGAGGAUGCGAGCGUUAUCCGGAUUUAUUGGGUUUAAAGGGUGCGUAGGCGGACUGUCAAGUCAGCGGUAAAAUUGAGAGGCUCAACCUCUUCCCGCCGUUGAAACUGGUGGUCUUGAGUGGAUGAGAAGUACGCGGAAUUCGUGGUGUAGCGGUGAAAUGCUUAGAUAUCACGAAGAACUCCGAUUGCGAAGGCAGCCUGCUGGACUGUAACUGACGCUGAUGCUCGAAAGUGUGGGUAUCAAACAGG
rnacentral:rRNA from 1 species